rnacentral:tRNA from 1 species
AGCCGUAUGUCCGGGUGGUGAGGGAGCGGUCUUGAAAAUCGUUGGUCUGAAAGGACUUGCAGGUUCAAAUCCUGUGUACGGCGUUUA